GAGCAGUUGCAGGCCCGUGUCUCUGCGCUCCGUCAUCAACUUGGGGAGUGUGAAAAGCUUGACUCCACGGCCACUGAGUUCUACAACAAGGUCAAGGGCCUUGCCGACACGUUGGCCUCCAUCGGACAACCGCUCACCGACUCCGAGUUCAACUCCUUCAUUGUCAAUGGCCUUGACGAGGAGUAUGAUGCCUUGGUCGAGAUCAUUAACGAGCGGGGCAACUCGACCCCCAUGAUGGCGCAUGAGGUCUUCUCCCGCCUUCUCCUCACUGAGCAGCGGGUUGAGUCGCGCCGCUCCAAGAGCAGUCACGGGUCCCUCUCGGCCAACGCCGCCACCAAGGGUGGCCGCCACCCCUCGUCGUCCAAAUCUCCCGCGGGGCUGCCACUGCCGCCCGCCUCGGCCCCCCCUUCGUCCGCAACUUUACCGGGGGCUGGUGGUAAGCGUGUGUGUCAACUUUGUGGCAUUGAGGGGCACUGGGCCUCUAAGUGUCACAAACGCUUCCAGAAGAGCUUCCUUGGUCUCGGCAAUGAUGGCAAGGACACGCGCAACUUCGCGCGUCAGGUUGCCAUGGCCGACCACCCGGCGUCAACAAAGCAGCAAGGGCAACAAGGGCACACUUAA
rnacentral:rRNA from 1 species